rnacentral:lncRNA from 1 species
CUUUCCCCUCCAAUGGCUGCCAUAGCCAACCAUGGCUGGUCACCUUCACACACGCGCACAACCCCUCCAUCGACCACCCUUCGCUAGUCGUCGAACAACCCAUCGUCAAUGAGCAACCACGAACAAUCCCAGCUCGCCGCUGCGACUCCUACUUCUUAUACUUCACCAUUGUUGCUUCUGCUGCGUCCAGACCCAACUGCUUCUGCUUCAUCUUCUCCGCCCUCACGACCACUGGAUCAACACCACGACCACGUCGCACAGCCCUGCCAUGGACGACCAGUCGACAUGAGCUGCUUCUGCGCGCAGUGUCGUCUCACAGCCCUGCCAUGCUCGUCUUCUCCAAACGACCAGCAGCAACCAGCUGCUUCAUCUUCUUCGUCAUGCUGCCUUAGCUCCGACCAACAUCCAUCGUUGCUCCUUCUU